GGGCAAUAGCUCAGUUGGUUAGAGCAGCGGACUCAUAACCCGCUGGUCGUUGGUUCAAGUCCAACUUGCCCC
rnacentral:tRNA from 1 species